rnacentral:rRNA from 1 species
GAUGAACGCUGGCGGCGUGCCUAAUACAUGCAAGUCGAACGCGCAGCGAAAGGUGCUUGCACCUUUCAAGCGAGUGGCGAACGGGUGAGUAACACGUGGAUAACCUGCCUCAAGGCUGGGGAUAACAUUUGGAAACAGAUGCUAAUACCGAAUAAAACUUAGUAUCGCAUGGUACAAAGUUGAAAGGCGCUACGGCGUCACCUAGAGAUGGGUCCGCGGUGCAUUAGUUAGUUGGUGGGGUAAAGGCCUACCAAGACAAUGAUGCAUAGCCGGGUUGAGAGACUGAUCGGCCACAUUGGGACUGAGACACGGCCCAAACUCCUACGGGAGGCUGCAGUAGGGAAUCUUCCACAAUGGGCGAAAGCCUGAUGGAGCAACGCCGCGUGUGUGAUGAAGGCUUUAGGGUCGUAAAGCACUGUUGUAUGGGAAGAAAUGCUAGGAUAGGGAAUGAUUCUAGUUCGACGGUACCAUACCAGAAAGGGACGGCUAAAUACGUGCCAGCCGCCGCCGUAA